GUGCUUACUUCAGCAGCACCUACACUAAAAUUCAAAUGAUACAGAUGAGAUUACCAUGACUCCUGUGCAAGGAUGACAUGCAAAUUUGUGGAAUGUUCCAUAAAAAA
ensembl:snRNA U6 U6 spliceosomal RNA